UACGUAGGGUGCAAGCGUUGUCCGGAAUUACUGGGCGUAAAGCGCACGUAGGCGGCUUGGUAUGUCGGGUGUGAAAUCCCCGGGCUCAACCUGGGAACUGCAUCCGAAACUGCCUUGCUAGAGUAUGGGAGAGGGAAGUGGAAUUUCCGGUGUAGCGGUGAAAUGCGUAGAUAUCGGAAGGAACAUCAGUGGCGAAGGCGACCUCCUGGACCAAUACUGACGCUCAGGUGCGAAAGCGUGGGGAGCAAACAGG
rnacentral:rRNA from 1 species